CAGGCAGAUUACUGAGGGGGGAAAAGACAAAACACAAGUUACUCAACACUAAACAUCAGAGUAAUAUAAACAAGCGGACAGAUCACAAAUGAACUAACACCAACUAGGAAUACAGACAGAAGCUAAGGCAGACACCGAGAUAACAGGACAGAUCAGAACCACCACACAAAACAAGCAGAAGAC